rnacentral:rRNA from 1 species
UGCAGUCGAGCGGUAGAGAGGUGCUUGCACCUCUUGAGAGCGGCGGACGGGUGAGUAAAGCCUAGGAAUCUGCCUGGUAGUGGGGGAUAACGCUCGGAAACGGACGCUAAUACCGCAUACGUCCUACGGGAGAAAGCAGGGGACCUUCGGGCCUUGCGCUAUCAGAUGAGCCUAGGUCGGAUUAGCUAGUUGGUGAGGUAAUGGCUCACCAAGGCGACGAUCCGUAACUGGUCUGAGAGGAUGAUCAGUCACACUGGAACUGAGACACGGUCCAGACUCCUACGGGAGGCAGCAGUGGGGAAUAUUGGACAAUGGGCGAAGGCCUGAUCCAGCCAUGCCGCGUGUGUGAAGAAGGUCUUCGGAUUGUAAAGCACUUUAAGUUGGGAGGAAGGGCAUUAACCUAAUACGUUAGUGUUUUGACGUUACCGACAGAAUAAGCACCGGCUAACUCUGUGCCAGCAGCCGCGGUAAUACAGAGGGUGCAAGCGUUAAUCGGAAUUACUGGGCGUAAAGCGCGCGUAGGUGGUUCGUUAAGUUGGAUGUGAAAUCCCCGGGCUCAACCUGGGAACUGCAUUCAAAACUGUCGAGCUAGAGUAUGGUAGAGGGUGGUGGAAUUUCCUGUGUAGCGGUGAAAUGCGUAGAUAUAGGAAGGAACACCAGU